rnacentral:tRNA from 1 species
CGGAGCGUAGCGCAGUUGGCUAGCGCACUUGAAUGGGGUUCAAGAGGUCGACGGUUCAAAUCCGUCCGCUCCGA